CGAAGGGUGCAAGCGUUGUUCGGAAUUACUGGGCGUAAAGCGCGCGUAGGCGGUUUGAUAAGUUGGAAGUGAAAUCCCGGGGCUUAACUCCGGAAUUGCUUUCAAAACUAUCAAUCUAGAAUAUGGCAGGGGACAGUGGAAUUCCUAGUGUAGAGGUGAAAUUCGUAGAUAUUAGGAGGAACACCAGUGGCGAAAGCGACUGUCUGGACCAUUAUUGACGCUGAGGCGCGAAAGCGUGGGGAGCAAACAGGAUUAGAUACCCAGGUAGUCCACGCUGUAAACGAUGGGUGCUAGAUAUUGGGGCUUAUGCUUCAGUGUCGUAGCUAACGCGUUAAGCACCCCGCCUGGGGAGUACGGUCGCAAGAUUA
rnacentral:rRNA from 1 species